rnacentral:lncRNA from 1 species
GAGGACAGAGGAAAGAGGAAUGGAGCCAGUGAUUGAAGUUUGUUCAUUCAUUGAUGUGUGUUUUCUUCAAUGCAAACUGCACUCAGUCCAUGUUAUUUCACCACAGACAAUAAAGGCUAGUACUCAAGGAUCUGGAGGAGUAGAGGAAAUACUUGUACUAAAUAAUCUAUGGAAGGACUGUCUUUGUCAAGAUAUAGUGGUGGAAUGCUGACCGAGAACCUG